GUCUAUGGCCAUACCACCCUGAACGCGCCGGAUCUCGUCUGAUCUCAGAAGCUAAGCAGGGUCGGGCCUGGUUAGUACUUGGAUGGGAGAAAAGAGAGCACCUUUGGUGCAGGUCAGAGACU
rnacentral:rRNA from 1 species